rnacentral:misc_RNA from 1 species
GAUGAAGAACGCAGCGAAAUGCGAUAAGUAAUGUGAAUUGCAGAAUUCAGUGAAUCAUCGAAUCUUUGAACGCACAUUGCGCCCAUUAGUAUUCUAGUGGGCAUGCCUGUUCGAGCGUCAUUAAUUCCACUUAAGCCCUGCUUAGUGUUGGGAAUCUACUCUAGUGGUGCUACCCUGGAGCUACCCCUGAAAGGGGGCUGGCCCGGUAGCUACCCUGUAGUUCCUCAAAGAUAGUGCGCGGAGUUGCGUGGUCCUCUGAGCUUAGUAACUAUACACCUAGCUUUUGAGUGUCCCGAGGCGCCUGCCGUUUAAACCCCAUCUUUUAAUGGUUGACCUCGGAUCAGGUAGGAAUACCCGCUGAACUUAAGCAUAUCAAUAAGCGGAGGA